AACGAACGCUGGCGGCGCGUCUUAAGCAUGCAAGUCGGACGGCAAGGGUAGCAAUACCCCUAGAGUGGCGGACUGGUGAGUAACGCGUGGGUGACCUGCCCUUGAGUUGGGGAUAGCCAUUAGAAAUAGUGGAUAAUACCGAAUACGAUCGCUGUCACUGUGGUGAUGCGAUGAAAGGAGCUACGGCUCCACUCGAGGAUGGGCCCGCGUCCCAUUAGCUAGUUGGUGAGGUAACGGCCCACCAAGGCGACGAUGGGUAUCCGGCCUGAGAGGGUGUACGGACACAUUGGGACUGAGAUACGGCCCAAACUCCUACGGGAGGCAGCAGCUAAGAAUAUUCCGCAAUGGACGAAAGUCUGACGGAGCGACGCCGCGUGGAUGAAGAAGGCCGAAAGGUUGUAAAAUCCUUUUGCUGAUGAAGAAUAAGUGGAGUAGGGAAUGAUUCCAUGAUGACAUUAGUCGGUGAAUAAGCCCCGGCUAACUACGCGCCAGCAGCCGCGGUAACACGUAGGGGGCAAGCGUUGUUCGGAAUUAUUGGGCGUAAAGGGCAUGUAGGCGGUUUUGUAAGCCUGGUGUGAAAUCCUGCAGCUUAACUGUAGAAUUGCAUUGGGUACUGCAAGACUUGAAUCACAGAGGGGAAACUAGAAUUCCAGGUGUAGGGGUGGAAUCUGUAGAUAUCUGGAAGAAUACCGGUGGCGAAGGCGGGUUUCUAGCUGAUGAUUGACGCUGAGGUGCGAAAGUGCGGGGAGCAAACAGGAUUAGAUACCCUGGUAGUCCGCACCGUAAACGAUGUACACUAGGUGUCGGGGCAUGAGUCUCGGUGCCAAAGCUAACGUGUUAAGUGUACCGCCUGGGAAGUAUGCUCGCAAGGGUG
rnacentral:rRNA from 1 species